rnacentral:rRNA from 1 species
UACGUAGGGUGCAAGCGUUGUCCGGAAUUAUUGGGCGUAAAGAGCUCGUAGGCGGUCUGUCGCGUCUGCUGUGAAAACCUGGGGCUUAACCCCGGGCCUGCAGUGGGUACGGGCAGACUAGAGUGCGGUAGGGGAGACUGGAAUUCCUGGUGUAGCGGUGAAAUGCGCAGAUAUCAGGAGGAACACCGGUGGCGAAGGCGGCUCUCUGGGCCUUACCUGACGCUGAGGAGCGAAAGCGUGGGUAGCGAACAGG